rnacentral:rRNA from 1 species
UACGUAGGGUGCGAGCGUUGUCCGGAAUUACUGGGCGUAAAGAGCUCGUAGGCGGUUUGUCGCGUCUGCCGUGAAAGUCCGGGGCUCAACUCCGGAUCUGCGGUGGGUACGGGCAGACUAGAGUGAUGUAGGGGAGACUGGAAUUCCUGGUGUAGCGGUGAAAUGCGCAGAUAUCAAGGAGGAACACCGGUGGCGAAGGCGGGUCUCUGGGCAGUGAACUGACGUGGAGGAGCGAAAGCGUGGGGAGCGA